GACAGAGGGUGCAAACGUUGUUCGGAAUUACUGGGCGUAAAGGGUGCGUAGGCGGUUUGGUAAGUCUUAUGUGAAAUCUACAGGCUCAACUUGUAGUCUGCAUGAGAAACUGCCGGGCUUGAGUAUGGGAGAGGUGAGUGGAAUUCCUGGUGUAGCGGUGAAAUGCGUAGAUAUCAGGAGGAACACCUGUGGCGAAAGCGGCUCACUGGACCAUAACUGACGCUGAUGCACGAAAGCUAGGGGAGCAAACAGG
rnacentral:rRNA from 1 species